rnacentral:rRNA from 1 species
UUAAGCGACUAAGCGUACACGGUGGAUGCCCUGGCAGUCAGAGGCGAUGAAGGACGUGCUAAUCUGCGAUAAGCGUCGGUAAGGUGAUAUGAACCGUUAUAACCGGCGAUUUCCGAAUGGGGAAACCCAGUGUGAUUCGUCACACUAUCAUUAACUGAAUCCAUAGGUUAAUGAGGCGAACCGGGGGAACUGAAACAUCUAAGUACCCCGAGGAAAAGAAAUCAACCGAGAUUCCCCCAGUAGCGGCGAGCGAACGGGGAGCAGCCCAGAGCCUGAAUCAGUGUGUGUGUUAGUGGAAGCGUCUGGAAAGGCGUGCGAUACAGGGUGACAGCCCCGUACACAAAAAUGCACAUGCUGUGAGCUCGAUGAGUAGGGCGGGACACGUGGUAUCCUGUCUGAAUAUGGGGGGACCAUCCUCCAAGGCUAAAUACUCCUGACUGACCGAUAGUGAACCAGUACCGUGAGGGAAAGGCGAAAAGAACCCCGGCGAGGGGAGUGAAAAAGAACCUGAAACCGUGUACGUACAAGCAGUGGGAGCACAGAGCAAUCUGUGUGACUGCGUACCUUUUGUAUAAUGGGUCAGCGACUUAUAUUCUGUAGCAAGGUUAACCGAAUAGGGGAGCCGAAGGGAAACCGAGUCUUAACUGGGCGUUAAGUUGCAGGGUAUAGACCCGAAACCCGGUGAUCUAGCCAUGGGCAGGUUGAAGGUUGGGUAACACUAACUGGAGGACCGAACCGACUAAUGUUGAAAAAUUAGCGGAUGACUUGUGGCUGGGGGGGAAAGGCCAAUCAAACCGGGAGAUAGCUGGUUCUCCCCGAAAGCUAUUUAGGUAGCGCCUCGUGAAUUCAUCUCCGGGGGUAGAGCACUGUUUCGGCAAGGGGGUCAUCCCGACUUACCAACCCGAUGCAAACUGCGAAUACCGGAGAAUGUUAUCACGGGAGACACACGGCGGGUGCUAACGUCCGUCGUGAAGAGGGAAACAACCCAGACCGCCAGCUAAGGUCCCAAAGUCAUGGUUAAGUGGGAAACGAUGUGGGAAGGCCCAGACAGCCAGGAUGUUGGCUUAGAAGCAGCCAUCAUUUAAAGAAAGCGUAAUAGCUCACUGGUCGAGUCGGCCUGCGCGGAAGAUGUAACGGGGCUAAACCAUGCACCGAAGCUGCGGCAGCGACGCUUAUGCGUUGUUGGGUAGGGGAGCGUUCUGUAAGCCUGCGAAGGUGUGCUGUGAGGCAUGCUGGAGGUAUCAGAAGUGCGAAUGCUGACAUAAGUAACGAUAAAGCGGGUGAAAAGCCCGCUCGCCGGAAGACCAAGGGUUCCUGUCCAACGUUAAUCGGGGCAGGGUGAGUCGACCCCUAAGGCGAGGCCGAAAGGCGUAGUCGAUGGGAAACAGGUUAAUAUUCCUGUACUUGGUGUUACUGCGAAGGGGGGACGGAGAAGGCUAUGUUGGCCGGGCGACGGUUGUCCCGGUUUAAGCGUGUAGGCUGGUUUUCCAGGCAAAUCCGGAAAACUAAGGCUGAGGCGUGAUGACGAGGCACUACGGUGCUGAAGCAACAAAUGCCCUGCUUCCAGGAAAAGCCUCUAAGCAUCAGGUAACAUCAAAUCGUACCCCAAACCGACACAGGUGGUCAGGUAGAGAAUACCAAGGCGCUUGAGAGAACUCGGGUGAAGGAACUAGGCAAAAUGGUGCCGUAACUUCGGGAGAAGGCACGCUGAUAUGUAGGUGAAGCGACUUGCUCGUGGAGCUGAAAUCAGUCGAAGAUACCAGCUGGCUGCAACUGUUUAUUAAAAACACAGCACUGUGCAAACACGAAAGUGGACGUAUACGGUGUGACGCCUGCCCGGUGCCGGAAGGUUAAUUGAUGGGGUCAGCGCAAGCGAAGCUCUUGAUCGAAGCCCCGGUAAACGGCGGCCGUAACUAUAACGGUCCUAAGGUAGCGAAAUUCCUUGUCGGGUAAGUUCCGACCUGCACGAAUGGCGUAAUGAUGGCCAGGCUGUCUCCACCCGAGACUCAGUGAAAUUGAACUCGCUGUGAAGAUGCAGUGUACCCGCGGCAAGACGGAAAGACCCCGUGAACCUUUACUAUAGCUUGACACUGAACAUUGAGCCUUGAUGUGUAGGAUAGGUGGGAGGCUUGGAAGUGUGGACGCCAGUCUGCAUGGAGCCGACCUUGAAAUACCACCCUUUAAUGUUUGAUGUUCUAACGUUGACCCGUAAUCCGGGUUGCGGACAGUGUCUGGUGGGUAGUUUGACUGGGGCGGUCUCCUCCUAAAGAGUAACGGAGGAGCACGAAGGUUGGCUAAUCCUGGUCGGACAUCAGGAGGUUAGUGCAAUGGCAUAAGCCAGCUUGACUGCGAGCGUGACGGCGCGAGCAGGUGCGAAAGCAGGUCAUAGUGAUCCGGUGGUUCUGAAUGGAAGGGCCAUCGCUCAACGGAUAAAAGGUACUCCGGGGAUAACAGGCUGAUACCGCCCAAGAGUUCAUAUCGACGGCGGUGUUUGGCACCUCGAUGUCGGCUCAUCACAUCCUGGGGCUGAAGUAGGUCCCAAGGGUAUGGCUGUUCGCCAUUUAAAGUGGUACGCGAGCUGGGUUUAGAACGUCGUGAGACAGUUCGGUCCCUAUCUGCCGUGGGCGCUGGAGAAUUGAGGGGGGCUGCUCCUAGUACGAGAGGACCGGAGUGGACGCAUCACUGGUGUUCGGGUUGUCAUGCCAAUGGCACUGCCCGGUAGCUAAAUGCGGAAGAGAUAAGUGCUGAAAGCAUCUAAGCACGAAACUUGCCCCGAGAUGAGUUCUCCCUGACUCCUUGAGAGUCCUGAAGGAACGUUGAAGACGACGACGUUGAUAGGCCGGGUGUGUAAGCGCAGCGAUGCGUUGAGCUAACCGGUACUAAUGAACCGUGAGGCUUAACCUU